GUGAACCAGUACCGUGAGGGAAAGGCGAAAAGAACCCCGGCGAGGGGAGUGAAAAAGAACCUGAAACCGUGUACGUACAAGCAGUGGGAGCACAGGUUUACCUGUGUGACUGCGUACCUUUUGUAUAAUGGGUCAGCGACUUAUAUUCUGUAGCAAGGUUAACCGAAUAGGGGAGCCGGAGGGAAACCGAGUCUUAACCGGGCGUUAAGUUGCAGGGUAUAGACCCGAAACCCGGUGAUCUAGCCAUGGGCAGGUUGAAGGUUGGGUAACACUAACUGGAGGACCGAACCGACUAAUGUUGAAAAAUUAGCGGAUGACCUGUGGCUGGGGGUGAAAGGCCAAUCAAACCGGGAGAUAGCUGGUUCUCCCCGAAAGCUAUUUAGGUAGCGCCUCGUGAAUUCAUCUCCGGGGGUAGAGCACUGUUUCGGCUAGGGGGCCAUCCCGGCUUACCAACCCGAUGCAAACUGCGAAUACCGGAGAAUGUUAUCACGGGAGACACACGGCGGGUGCUAACGUCCGUCGUGAAGAGGGAAACAACCCAGACCGCCAGCUAAGGUCCCAAAGUCAUGGUUAAGUGGGAAACGAUGUGGGAAGGCCCAGACAGCCAGGAUGUUGGCUUAGAAGCAGCCAUCAUUUAAAGAAAGCGUAAUAGCUCACUGGUCGAGUCGGCCUGCGCGGAAGAUGUAACGGGGCUAAACCAUGCACCGAAGCUGCGGCAGCGACGCUGAUGCGUUGUUGGGUAGGGGAGCGUUCUGUAAGCCUGCGAAGGUGGCCUGUGAGGGUUGCUGGAGGUAUCAGAAGUGCGAAUGCUGACAUAAGUAACGAUAAAGCGGGUGAAAAGCCCGCUCGCCGGAAGACCAAGGGUUCCUGUCCAACGUUAAUCGGGGCAGGGUGAGUCGACCCCUAAGGCGAGGCCGAAAGGCGUAGUCGAUGGGAAACGGGUUAAUAUUCCCGUACUUGGUGUUACUGCGAAGGGGGGACGGAGAAGGCUAUGUUGGCCGGGCGACGGUUGUCCCGGUUUAAGCGUGUAGGCUGGUUUUCCAGGCAAAUCCGGAAAAUCAAGGCUGAGGCGUGAUGACGAGGCACUACGGUGCUGAAGCAACAAAUGCCCUGCUUCCAGGAAAAGCCUCUAAGCAUCAGGUAACAUCAAAUCGUACCCCAAACCGACACAGGUGGUCAGGUAGAGAAUACCAAGGCGCUUGAGAGAACUCGGGUGAAGGAACUAGGCAAAAUGGUGCCGUAACUUCGGGAGAAGGCACGCUGACACGUAGGUGAAGUGAUUUACUCAUGGAGCUGAAGUCAGUCGAAGAUACCAGCUGGCUGCAACUGUUUAUUAAAAACACAGCACUGUGCAAACACGAAAGUGGACGUAUACGGUGUGACGCCUGCCCGGUGCCGGAAGGUUAAUUGAUGGGGUCAGCGCAAGCGAAGCUCCUGAUCGAAGCCCCGGUAAACGGCGGCCGUAACUAUAACGGUCCUAAGGUAGCGAAAUUCCUUGUCGGGUAAGUUCCGACCUGCACGAAUGGCGUAAUGAUGGCCAGGCUGUCUCCACCCGAGACUCAGUGAAAUUGAACUCGCUGUGAAGAUGCAGUGUACCCGCGGCAAGACGGAAAGACCCCGUGAACCUUUACUAUAGCUUGACACUGAACAUUGAGCCUUGAUGUGUAGGAUAGGUGGGAGGCUUUGAAGUGUGGACGCCAGUCUGCAUGGAGCCGACCUUGAAAUACCACCCUUUAAUGUUUGAUGUUCUAACGUGGACCCGUUACCCGGGUUGCGGACAGUGUCUGGUGGGUAGUUUGACUGGGGCGGUCUCCUCCUAAAGAGUAACGGAGGAGCACGAAGGUUGGCUAAUCCUGGUCGGACAUCAGGAGGUUAGUGCAAUGGCAUAAGCCAGCCUGACUGCGAGCGUGACGGCGCGAGCAGGUGCGAAAGCAGGUCAUAGUGAUCCGGUGGUUCUGAAUGGAAGGGCCAUCGCUCAACGGAUAAAAGGUACUCCGGGGAUAACAGGCUGAUACCGCCCAAGAGUUCAUAUCGACGGCGGUGUUUGGCACCUCGAUGUCGGCUCAUCACAUCCUGGGGCUGAAGUAGGUCCCAAGGGUAUGGCUGUUCGCCAUUUAAAGUGGUACGCGAGCUGGGUUUAGAACGUCGUGAGACAGUUCGGUCCCUAUCUGCCGUGGGCGCUGGAGAACUGAGGGGGGCUGCUCCUAGUACGAGAGGACCGGAGUGGACGCAUCACUGGUGUUCGGGUUGUCAUGCCAAUGGCACUGCCCGGUAGCUAAAUGCGGAAGAGAUAAGUGCUGAAAGCAUCUAAGCACGAAACUUGCCCCGAGAUGAGUUCUCCCUGAGACUUAGAGUCUCCUGAAGGAACGUUGAAGACGACGACGUUGAUAGGCCGGGUGUGUAAGCGCAGCGAUGCGUUGAGCUAACCGGUACUAAUGAACCGUGAGGCUUAACC
rnacentral:rRNA from 1 species